CCACUAGCCACUUGAGCACUUGAAGUGUGGCUGGUCUGAAUUGAAAUGUGCAGUAACUGUAAAAUAUAAAUUCAAAGACAUUGUGCAAAAAAUGUAUAAAACAUCUCAUUAAUGAUUUUGAGUACCGAAUGCAUGUAGAAAUAAUGCCAUUUUGGAUCUAGAGGGUUAAACAAAAUAUAUCAUUAAAUUAAUUUGACCUAUCGCUUUUUGUUUUUUAAAUGUAGUUACUAAAAAAAUAUAAAAUUACAUAUGCAACUUGAAUUUAUAUUUCAUAUUACAUUUCUCUUGUACCAUGCUGGUCUAGACUGUAAGCCCAUGUGAAGGGAAGAGCUGGUUAACUCUGCUCACAAUAGAAUCACCACACACAUAAGGAGCACCCUUAAUAUUUGCUCAAUAAAUGACUGUGAGAACUUGAGUGGAGUUGUGAAGGUCACCUGGGAGUUAACCACGUGAGGGUGUGUGUUUGUUUUACGUGAGGAGAGAACCUGGGCCGGCAGCACCUUUCUAACAGAGAAAACAGAAAAGCAAAUGUGUGGAGGCAUGGACUAGUAUGGAGGUUUUAGGGAACUGAUAUUUUAGCAGAGUAAACAUGGGCAGGAUCACCACGGAGAUGCGUAUGCCAUAAUGAGGUAUUUGAACUUUGCUGAACGCAAGGGGAACCAGACUCAAUGAAGAAUUUUAAGCAGGGAAGCAACUUGAUCAGAUUUAUGUUAAAGAACUAACAAAGAAGUCAGGCAGAAGCUGAGCUGAAGGCAGGGAUGCCACUUUGGAGGCAUUUUUGUAAUCCAGGCAAGAAGGAAUGAGGUCAUCAGCAAAGGAGAAUUGGGUACCGAGGAAGAACAGUGGACUAACUCCAACUUUCUGGAAGAGACUUAUCUCUUCCUCUUAAAUGGGGAUCACUAUGGGAGUGUUUUCUGGGAGUCUCUGAAGGAGGAAUCGCACAGAAUGCCAAAUGUUCUGAUCCUAGAGGCUCAGAGACUGGAGUGGCCCUAGUUCCACAGGUGAGAGCCAGUUUUAUGUCAAACUUCUGCUAUUCUUUGCCCUCCAGACCCUAAUGCAUUUCUUCUUUUGUACGGAAUUUCACAAAGGGGCUAGACAUUCUUUCAGCUUCUAGGCUGAACUACACAAAGAUUUUCUCAAAACUGGGUUCUUCCAUUGUGUGAAAUUGUGUCCUAUGUGUGAAAUUCCAUCCUAGUGACCCACAUUCAGUCCAGGACUCUAGAUCGACCAAAGAACCAAAUUUUUUCUUCCAGUUUCCUCAUCUCUCUCCUCCCUCUGCCUCAUCAAAAAGAAAAAAUCCCCUUUUCUUUCCAGUGAUGAAACCAAUAUCUAUUCUCAUCAGUUAC
rnacentral:lncRNA from 1 species